UACGUAGGUGGCAAGCGUUGUCCGGAUUUACUGGGUGUAAAGGGCGUGCAGCCGGAGAGACAAGUCAGAUGUGAAAUCCGCAGGCUCAACCUGCGAACUGCAUUUGAAACUGUUUCCCUUGAGUAUCGGAGAGGUCAUCGGAAUUCCUAGUGUAGCGGCGAAAUGCGUAGAUAUUAGGAAGAACACCAGUGGCGAAGGCGGAUGACUGGACGACAACUGACGGUGAGGCGCGAAAGCGUGGGGAGCAAACAGG
rnacentral:rRNA from 1 species